UACGGGAGGCAGCAGUGGGGAAUAUUGGACAAUGGGCGCAAGCCUGAUCCAGCCAUGCCGCGUGUGUGAGAAGGCCUUAUGGUUGUAAAGCACUUUAAGCGAGGAGGAGGUUACUUUAGUUAAUACCUAGAGAUAAUGGACCGUACUCGCAGANUAAGCACCGGCUAACUCUGUGCCAGCAGCCGCGGU
rnacentral:rRNA from 1 species